rnacentral:SRP_RNA from 1 species
GCUGGGCAUCGUGGUGGGUGCCUGUAAUCCCAGCUACUCAGGAGGUUGAGGCAGGAGAAUUGCUUGAACCCAGGAGGCAGAGGUUGCAGUGAGCUGAGAUUGCACCAUUGCACUCCAGCCUGGGUGACAGAGCAAGACUCUGUCUCAA